GGCACACAGACACUCCCUCAGCAACCCUAAGCAGCUAAAAUGCCUUGGCUCCUGCUUGAACAGCUCCUGCAGGAAAGAAGUGUCUGUAUAUCUGAAAAAUAACAGGAAUCCCUUGCCAAAAUUUUGCCUGAGCAGUUCCUAGGUUUUCCUGGCAGCCAAGAAAGAACUCUAACUCUCACCUUUAAAUCAGCCACCAGGUUGAUGCCCAAUGCAU